rnacentral:rRNA from 1 species
AUUGAACGCUGGCGGCAUGCCUUACACAUGCAAGUCGAACGGUAACAGGUCUUCGGAUGCUGACGAGUGGCGAACGGGUGAGUAAUACAUCGGAACGUGCCUAGUAGUGGGGGAUAACUACUCGAAAGAGCGGCUAAUACCGCAUGAGAUCUACGGAUGAAAGCAGGGGAUCGCAAGACCUUGCGCUACUAGAGCGGCCGAUGGCAGAUUAGGUAGUUGGUGGGAUAAAAGCUUACCAAGCCGACGAUCUGUAGCUGGUCUGAGAGGACGAUCAGCCACACUGGGACUGAGACACGGCCCAGACUCCUACGGGAGGCAGCAGUGGGGAAUUUUGGACAAUGGGCGCAAGCCUGAUCCAGCAAUGCUGCGUGCAGGAUGAAGGCCUUCGGGUUGUAAACUGCUUUUGUACGGAACGAAAAGCCCUGGGUUAAUACCCUGGGGUCAUGACGGUACCGUAAGAAUAAGCACCGGCUAACUACGUGCCAGCCGCCGCCGUAA